AAGAAGUUAGUUAAGUUUUAUAACAUAUAUUUGUCAUAUUUAAAUUAUCUUUUAAGAUACUUCUUA
rnacentral:tRNA from 3 species